CUUUGAGAGAACAGACCCUCCUUUGUGCCAGCGAUACAUAACCCAGCUCUGGAUGUGGCCUUCACAGGCCUUGGAAGAUUAGAAUUUCAAUGUAUUUAUGAAGGAAAGCUGUUACAGUCCAGAUUAUCUCCUGCUGGCAAAUGACAAGUUUUGCUUAGAGCAUUCUAAUUAUCAAUUCAGUUCGAAAUGAGGGACAAGAAAGAAGACACCCAUGAAAACCAUGCCCAGAACCAUCCAAAAAGCANCCCAAGGCUGCCUACUUUUCACCUAUCCAGUCUCCUGAUAAGAGAGGUUUGGUUCAUCUUCCCAUUGGUUCUGGCCCCCCAAAUACAUGCAGGUUCCAAAUGUAAGUUUUUU
rnacentral:lncRNA from 1 species